UAGGGAAUCUUCCACAAUGGGCGAAAGCCUGAUGGAGCAACGCCGCGUGUGAUGAAGGGUUUCGGCUCGUAAAACACUGUUGUAAGAGAAGAAUGACAUUGAGAGUAACUGUUCAAUGUGUGACGGUAUCUUACCAGAAAGGAACGGCUAAAUACGUGCCA
rnacentral:rRNA from 1 species